AUUGAACGCUGGCGGCAUGCCUUACACAUGCAAGUCGAACGGCAGCGGGGACUUCGGUCCGCCGGCGAGUGGCGAACGGGUGAGUAAUGUAUCGGAACGUACCUUUCAGUGGGGGAUAACGUAGCGAAAGUUACGCUAAUACCGCAUAUUCUGUGCGCAGGAAAGCAGGGGAUCGCAAGACCUUGCGCUGAUUGAGCGGCCGAUAUCAGAUUAGCUAGUUGGUGGGGUAAAGGCCUACCAAGGCGACGAUCUGUAGCGGGUCUGAGAGGAUAAUCCGCCACACUGGAACUGAGACACGGUCCAGACUCCUACGGGAGGCAGCAGUGGGGAAUUUUGGACAAUGGGGGCAACCCUGAUCCAGCCAUGCCGCGUGAGUGAAGAAGGCC
rnacentral:rRNA from 1 species